AUUAACAUUGGCUAACAUAUAUUAACGUGAAUACCGAUGAAUUGAAUGAGCAUGCUCUUUACAAUGAGUUCAUGCUUUAAGGGAAACCUAAAAUCAUACAUUUCUCCUUUACCGGAGCUGUGAAAGCAGUUUCGUUGUUAUACGCAAUAGUCACCCCAAUUAUUGCGUAUUUUUUUGUCUGCGUUUUAUCA
rnacentral:sRNA from 1 species